GACGAACGCUGGCGGCGUGCUUAACACAUGCAAGUCGAACGGCAAGGCUCCAGCUUGCUGGUGUACUCGAGUGGCGAACGGGUGAGUAACACGUGGGUAAUCUGCCCUGUACUCUGGGAUAAGCCUGGGAAACUGGGUCUAAUACCGGAUAUGACCUUUCUCCUUAUGGGGUUUGUUGGAAAGUUUUUCGGUGUUGGAUGGGCCCGCGGCCUAUCCGCUUGUUGGUGGGGUUAUUGCCUACCAAGGCUACGACGGGUAGGCCGCCUGGGAGGGUGAACGGGCACAUUGGGACUGAGAGACGGCGCAGAAGCGUACGGGAGGCAGCAGGGGGGAAUAUUGCACAAUGGGCGGAAGCCUGAUGCAGCGACGCCGCGUGAGGGAUGACGGCCUUCGGGUUGUAAACCUCUUUCAGCGGGGACGAAGCGUAAGUGACGGUACCUGAAGAAGAAGCACCGGCUAACUACGUG
rnacentral:rRNA from 1 species